UCCGGUUAAGGGUUGAUAGAUCAUGUUUAAAUACAAGCCUGAUCUUUAGGAAUUUUUUCUGAUAAAAUUAACAGACUUCUUUCUAAAACGAAUAUGUCAUCUAAAGCUACAUGCAUAGUUGAAUCUGUAGUAAUUUUUCAGCAAUGGUAAUCUUAAAAGGUGCACGAUCGAUAAACUCUUUCUCGGAAGUUGCUUCCAAUAUUUGAUAAAAUCGGAACGUCGCGAAAGGAGGGGACUUACCUUCCCGUACGAUGUUAGCCAGGAUGUAAUCUUUGGGACAUUCUUUGACGAUAUGCAGCUUUCGUCUUUGAUGUUUAUCGUACUUAAACGGCAGCAACGUCAAUUGUAUUGGAGAGGUAGCGUCUGUCAGAGCAUCGUCUAUGAUGUCCCUCGAACUCGUCAGAAUUUCCAGUCCUGGAAAGAAAAAGGGCCAGUCUUAGAAACAUAUCGACUGCACUUCGAAAUUCUCAGAGAUUUAGAAUUCUGUCUUGUAAAACGAAACGACGUCAGUCGUAUCUUAGAAUAUUUAUCUCGUGUACCAGUAGACGAGCUAUGCUUGGGGUCAUUUAAAAGGGUGUUCCACAAUUACUUUAACAACCAAAAAUGGGGG